ACAGCCUCGGGAUUGGUCUGACCGCAAAGUGAAAAAGAUACGUGUGCAGUGUGCACGGGUGCCGAGUGUCAGCCGUGGCACGAGAAGCCCGAAGGUUGUCAGUCGCGUAGUCGCGAUUCCGCGGCCGAAAAUCCAUCCCCAGUUGAGAUAAUAAUCCCGGAACGGAUUUCACACCGUAUCGGUGAAAAAUUAGUGCGUGGUGGGUGCAGAGUUCGGAGUUUCGCAACGUAAGGUUACAAUUCCGUCGAUAUUAUGUCAGCAGCCUCGGUGCUGCUCGUAGCGAACUGCUGUUAGGAUCCAGGAGAGUUAAAAUUCGCCGACUGGGUUACGACAGAGGUUUUUAAACUCUACCGGUGAUCGUCGAACGUCGAACAUACAUAUUAAUAAAUUGGGGAGUGAGUGUUGGUGUACCUAAAAAUAACUACCCGCAUCUAUUACGAAGCGCCGCAUCGACUUAAAUAAACAUUAAAAGCAAAGCAAGAUCAAGGAGAACGAGACGCAGA